rnacentral:rRNA from 1 species
CCUACGGGAGGCAGCAGUGAGGAAUAUUGGUCAAUGGACGAGAGUCUGAACCAGCCAAGUAGCGUGAAGGAUGACUGCCCUAUGGGUUGUAAACUUCUUUUAUAUGGGAAUAAAAUGUUCCACGUGUGGGAUUUUGUAUGUACCAUAUGAAUAAGGGUCGGCUAACUACGUGCCAGCAGCCGCGGUAAUACGGAGGAUCCGAGCGUUAUCCGGAUUUAUUGGGUUUAAAGGGAGCGUAGGUGGAUUGUUAAGUCAGUUGUGAAAGUUUGCGGCUCAACCGUAAAAUUGCAGUUGAAACUGGCAGUCUUGAGUACAGUAGAGGUGGGCGGAAUUCGUGGUGUAGCGGUGAAAUGCUUAGAUAUCACGAAGAACUCCGAUGGCGAAGGCAGUUCACUGGACUGCAACUGACACUGAGGCUCGAAAGUGUGGGUAUCAAACAGGAUUAGAUACCCUAGUAGUC